GCAACCUGGUGCUGGCGCACGGUAAUCUGGUGGUGUUCCGCUCGCUGCUGGGCAUCAGCUGGAUGUGGUUUUUUGGCGCGGUGUUUUUGAGCCAGUUUCCCAGCUUUGCCAAAGAGGUGCUA
rnacentral:ncRNA from 1 species